UAUUGGGUUGGCCAAAAAGCUCUUUCAGGUUUUUCUGUACCAUCUUAGGGGAAACUUGAAUGAACUUUUUGGCCAACCCAAUAUAU
rnacentral:miRNA from 1 species